ensembl:snRNA U6 U6 spliceosomal RNA
GCUGGCUUUGGCAGCAUGUGUACUGAAAUUGGAUUGUUUCCGAGAUUAGCAUGGCCCCUGUGCAAGCAUGACAUGCAAAUUCAUGAAGCAUUGCAUACUUUU